rnacentral:rRNA from 1 species
UGGGGAAUCUUGCACAAUGGGCGAAAGCCUGAUGCAGCGACGCCGCGUGCGGGAUGAAGGCCUUCGGGUUGUAAACCGCUUUCAGCAGGGACGAGGCCGCAAGGUGACGGUACCUGCAGAAGAAGCCCCGGCUAACUACGUGCCAGCAGCCGCGGUAAUACGUAGGGGGCAAGCGUUAUCCGGAUUCAUUGGGCGUAAAGGGUGCGUAGGUGGUCUUUCAAGUCGGUGGUUAAAGGCUACGGCUCAACCGUAGUUAGCCUCCGAAACUGGAAGACUUGAGUGCAGGAGAGGAAAGUGGAAUUCCCAGUGUAGCGAUGAAAUGCGUAGAUAUUGGGAGGAACACCAGUAGCGAAGGCGGCUUUCUGGACUGCAACUGACACUGAGGCACGAAAGCGUGGGUAGCAAACAGG